UCGAACGUGGUGCACGGAGCACUCCUGCAGACAGUGCCCGUGCUCCAGGAACUGCUGCAGGAAUUCCGGGUUCGACUCCCGGCGUUCGAA